AAACCAUGACUAAGCCUACUGAAACAUUUUAUUCUCUGGUCACUCUCUUCCGUUGAGUCACUGUAGCACUAUUGACGAUGACCCUGCUGAAGCAAGAACCCAAGCAACCCAGCUGCUCAAGAAGCCGUACUUCUCUGUGCUGCUUAGAGAUCCAUUCGAUGACAAUGUAAUCCCCAUUGUAGAAGAACUUCAAAGAUGUUUACCUUUAACAAGAGCCAGUCCUAAAGGCCAUGGUGAAGAAGAAGAGAAAGCCUCAGGGGUACGAGAUGAAACUAAAACCAGCGAAGAAAAUGAUUAUCGCUUGAGCUUAAUAUUUAUGAUGGUUUUGGAUACCUUGUGUCAUGCAAUGCAGAGUUUCCAUUCGAAUUCUGGGCCUUAGAAGUUGCACUAGAAGCUAUUUGUAGUUGUCUUGAUGCUCGCACAAGAGAAUUGGAAGCUGAAGCUUAUUCAGCUUUAGAUGAGCUGACCUCCAAGGUAACAGAAAGUAGUUCUUUUGCCAAAACAUAAGAAGUUAAAUAUAAGUGACCAUAAUUUAUGUGCCAUUUUGAAAGGUUUUUA